UACAGAGGUCUCAAGCGUUGUUCGGAUUCAUUGGGCGUAAAGGGUGCGUAGGUGGCGAGGCAAGUCAGAUGUGAAAUCCCGGGGCUCAACCCCGGAACUGCAUUUGAAACUGCCUUGCUCGAGUACUGGAGAGGAGACUGGAAUUUACGGUGUAGCAGUGAAAUGCGUAGAUAUCGUAAGGAAGACCAGUGGCGAAGGCGGGUCUCUGGACAGUUCCUGACACUGAGGCACGAAGGCCAGGGGAGCAAACGGG
rnacentral:rRNA from 1 species